rnacentral:rRNA from 1 species
AUUGAACGCUGGCGGCAUGCUUUACACAUGCAAGUCGAACGGCAGCACGGGGGCAACCCUGGUGGCGAGUGGCGAACGGGUGAGUAAUGCAUCGGAACAUACCCAGUCGUGGGGGAUAACGUAGCGAAAGUUACGCUAAUACCGCAUACGUCCUGAGGGAGAAAGCGGGGGAUCGCAAGACCUCGCGCGAUUGGAGUGGCCGAUGUCAGAUUAGCUAGUUGGUGGGGUAAAGGCCCACCAAGGCGACGAUCUGUAGCGGGUCUGAGAGGAUGAUCCGCCACACUGGAACUGAGACACGGUCCAGACUCCUACGGGAGGCAGCAGUGGGGAAUUUUUGGACAAUGGGGGCAACCCUGAUCCAGCCAUGCCGCGUGAGUGAAGAAGG